CAUAGCUCACUGUAGAAAUAAGUUUGAAUUAACUAGUGGUUCAUGCUGAGACUCAAACUCUGCUUAUUGGUUUUCUAGUUAAUUCAAACUUAUUUCUACAGUGAGCUA
rnacentral:pre_miRNA from 1 species